rnacentral:lncRNA from 1 species
CCAUGGCCCUUUUGGGGUCCCCCGUGUCCCUAUUGAAGGUCCCCAUGCCCUUAUUAGGGUCCCCCGUGUCCCUUUUGGGGUCCCCCGUGUCCCUUUUGGGGUCCCCCAUGUCCCUUUUGGAGUCUCCCGUGUCCCUACAGGGGGUUCCCGUGUCCCUUUUGGGGUCUCCCGUGUCCCUAUUGGGGGUUGCCAUGUCCCUGUUCAGGUCCCCGUAUCCCCACUGGGGUCCCUGUGCCCCUGUUAGGGGUUGCCAUGGCCCUGGUGGGUGUCCCCGUGUCCCUAUUGGGGUCCCUAUGCCCCUAUUAGGGAUCCCCGUGUCCCCAUUGGGAUCUCCUGUGUCCCUGUUAGGGGUUGCCAUGGCCCUUUUGGGGUCCCCUGUGUCCCUAUUAGGGGUCCCCUGUGUCCCUUUUGGGGUCUCCUAUGUCCCUACUGGGGGUUGCCAUGUCCCUGUUCUGGUCCCCGUGUCCCUAUUGGGGUCCCUAUGCCCCUAUUAGGGGUCCCCGUGUCCCCAUUGGGAUCUGCUGUGUCCCUAUUGGGGGUUGCCAUGUCCCUAUUGCAGGUCCCCCAUGUCCCUUUUGGGGUCCCCAUGUCUCUUUUGGGGUCUCCUGUGUCCCUACUGGGGGUUGCCAUGUCCCUGUUCAGGUCCCCGUGUCCCCACAGGUGUCCCUGUGCACGUAUUAGGGGUUGCCAUGUCCCCAUUGGGAUCCCUGUGUUCCUAUUGGGGGUUGCCAUGGCCCUGGUGGGCAUCCCUGUGUCCCUAUUGGGGUCUCUAUGUCCCUAUUAGGGGUCCCUAUGCCCCUGUUGGGGGUUGCCAUAUCCCUAUUGGGGUCCCUGUGUUCCCAUUGGAGGCUGCCAUGUCCCUGAUCAUUGUCCCCACGUCCCUUUUGGGGUCCUCAUGUCCCUCUUUGAGUCUCUGUCCCCCUAUCAGGGGUCCCUGUGUCCCUGUUGGGGUCCCUGUGUAUGUAUUGGGGUCUCCUAUGACCCUACUGGGAUCUCCUAUGUCCCUAUUAGGGGUUGCCAUGUCCCCAUUGGGGUCCCUGUGUUCCGAGUGGGGGGUCCCCAUGUCCCCAUUGGGGUCCCUGUAUACAGAUUGGGGUCUCUGUGUCCCUGUAGGAGGUCCCCAUGUCCCUAAUGGGGUUCCUAUGUCUCUCUUAGGGGUUGCCGUGUCUCCAUUGGGGUCCCCCAUGUCCCCACAGGAGCCCCUGUGUUCCUCUUGGGGUCCUCAUGUCCCUAUUGGAGGUCCCCUACAUCUCCAUCGGGGUCCCCGUGUCCCUUUUGGGGGUUGCCAUGUCCCUGGUAGGCGUCCCAAUGUCCCUAGAGGGGAAGAUCCCCCCCCCCUUGUCCUUCUUGGGGUCUCCUGUGAUCCUAUUAGAGGUCCCCAUGUCCCUAGUGGGUGUUCCUAUAUCCUUAUUGGGGUCCCCGUGUUCCUGUGGGGGUUUUCAUGGCCCUGUUGAGUGUCUUUGUGUCCCUAUUGGGGCUCUCCUAUGUCUCUAUUGGGGUUCCCCUUUCCCUCUUGGGGUCUUCAUGUCCCUCUUGGGGUCCUCUUGUUCCUGUUGGGGUCUCUACAUCCCUAAUGGGAUCCUCAUGUCCCCAUAGGGUUUCCAUUGGGCUUCUCAUGUCCUUAUUGAACGUUUCCCAUGUCCCUAGUGGGGUCCCAGUGUCCCUGUGGGGAACCCCACAUCCCCAUUGGGUUCCUAUUGGGGUCCUCAUCCUAACUGAAGGACCCCAGUGUCCCUGUUGGGGUC